GCCGGGGCCCGGAUCGGGGACGUGGCUGGGAGGAGUCUGGCGGCCCCGGGCUCCGGGCCGGCCGCGCCAUGGCGGAGCCCACGGUGUGCUCCUUCCUCACCAAGGUGCUGUGCGCCAACGGCGGCCGCAUGUUGCUGCAGGACCUGCGCGGCCACGUGGAGCUGUCCGAGGCCAGGCUGCGGGACGUGCUGCGCCAGGCCGGGCCCGAGCGCUUCCUGCUGCAGGAGGUGCAGGAGACGGAGGGCCCCCGCGCCGAGGCCCAGGCCCAGGCCCAGGCCCAGGCCCAGGCCCAGGCGGAGGGCGCCCCGGGCGGCGCGGGCGGCGCGGGCGGCGCGGGGGGCGCGGGGGGCGCGGGCGGCGGGCCGCGCGCCUGGCGGGUGGUGGCCGUGUCCUCCGCGCGCCUCUGCGCCCGCUACCAGCGCGGCGACUGCCAGGCCUGCGACCAGCUGCACCUCUGCCGCCGCCACAUGCUGGGCAAGUGCCCGAACCGCGACUGCUGGUCCACCUGCACCCUUUCCCAUGACAUCCACACACCUGUCAACAUUCAAGUACUGAAAAACCAUGGGCUUUUUGGCCUCAAUGAGGCCCAGCUACGGAUCCUGCUUUUACAGAAUGACCCGUGCCUUUUACCAGAGGUCUGUUUACUGUACAACAAAGGUGAAGCACUCUAUGGCUACUGCAACCUCAAGGACAAAUGCAACAAGUUCCAUGUGUGCAAAUCCUUCGUCAGAGGGGAGUGCAGACUUCCGAAAUGCAAACGGUCCCAUCAACUCACUCAUGCUUCAGCCCUGACACUGCUGCAGGACCAAGGACUGAAUAUUCCAAGUGUCAUUAAUUUUCAGAUCAUCUCCACCUACAAGCACAUGAAGCUGCACAAGAUGCUUGAAAAUCAAGAUAAUUCAGCUUCUUCUGCUGAGUAUGCACAGGGCCUUGAGAAACAAGGAGUACAUGUAGCUGGCGCUGCAGAAGCCAGUCCUCUGGCGUCUGUCCCUGCUCAGUCAGCCAAGAAGCCACACACAGGUAAACCGUAAAGAAUGUCCGUGAAAUAUGAAGCUCAUCCAAUUGGAAGAUCUGAAAACAAAGCUUCUGUUGAGCUUGAUUUCUGUGGGAAAGUUAUCACAUUAAAAUUGGGGAUGAAUUUUCUUUGGUCAUCUAUCAAGGCUUCUGAGGUGAAGCGGCACAUCGAUAGGCUCCACAGAUCCAGCAUAUCCUAAGUUAAAUGAUUAACUUUCCUACAGACUCAUUUUGCCUUUGGUUUCUUUAUUUUGGUGUGUUACCACCUACUGACUUAAACCAAAGCCCUGCAAAUUGCCACAUACUCUUCUUUCGCCGGUUCCUGAUGUCAAACCGGUGACCCAAUGUUGGAGAUUAAUUUCCCUUCUAACAUCUCAAAUUUUGAUCCUUUUCUGCCUCUUUCUUUACAUCCCUGACACACUGCCCUCUUUCUAACCCUCAGCACCUCUUGCAUUAUUGCACAGAUGGUGGAUUCAGCGGCUUCCUAGUCGUGUCUCAUGAGAGUAUUUUUAUAGCAGGUGCUAGGUGGCCCCCUGCUCUCCUUCAGUGACGACAGUCCCAUUAAAAAAAUAUUUAAAAAAAAAAAUCUUUUUUUAUAAAAUAGGCUUUUACGGAUUUCAUUGAUCUCCUUAGCCCCUCCCUUCCAUCCUGUGCCUGGCCAAUCUUUUGAAAUGCAGACAUAAUCACAUUGCUUUGUUUUGCCAUAAUUUCAUUGGUCCCCAUUAUGCAACGUAGGAGUCAUAAACUCAGAUGCCUUCUUAGAUGAGAAAGGUGAGCUAAGUGGAUGAUGUGAGCUGGAUAUAAGAGAAAUGGGGGGAAAGAGGAAGUGUCCUAGCAAGUUGUCCCACCAGCUACUUAAAUCGGUAGCUCUGGGGGUCCCUCCUGCCUCUUGUGCCCAUGUGGGGAUGUGGGCCCAUUUUGUCAUGGUGUCCAAUCAGUUGAAAGAAGCUCGAUCCAGAUUUUAUGAUACAUUUUCAGAUUUUGAAAUACUGGCUUAGAUUGAGUUUUAGAAAUGCAGAACAAUAGUGUAUGUACUGAACUACUUGCAAUUUUUGGAAUGUGCUGUUUUAUUUUAUGACUCUCUGUGUUUAUAAAUGACGUUCCCAUUAAGUGCCACUCUCUCCCUCUUCCUGCCUCAAAAUCUGGCAAAAUCAGAUUCUUUAAAAUGCUACAUUAGUCUUUUCUGACCCCACAAAAGGCGGUUCACUUAGCAUUCUCAAAGUUCUAGCAUAGCACUUACUUUGCCCUGCUUUCUACUUUUCUUCCCUAACUUUGAGCAAAAGCAAAACCAUUAUUUCUUCUUUUGGACACUUUUUUUUGCCAUAUAAUGAAUCAAACUGUGUUGUGAAUCUAUCAGUACCAUAUUGGUCUUUAUUGUUCUUUUUUCUCCCCACAUAAUAUAUUUUUCAUUUUCAAGAAGUCUUUUUCCUUUAAGGAAUAUGUUAUUUAAGGUAAAUAUUUUUUUGGUGCUUCAAUUUGAAUCAUCUAGGGCUAAAAUUAAUUGUUUAAGACUUAUGAUACUAAUCUUUCUGUCAAAAAAUUAAGGCUCUUCAUUGCUAAUGGGUUCCUUGGUUUCUUUCAUUAUAAAUUUGUUCUUUAUAUAUAUAUAAAUAUAUAUGUAUAUUCCUCAUUACAUUGAUCUUUUUUUCUUAGCUAAAGACAUCUGUAUUGCUACUCAGUAUGGGAAUCUCUAGAAUGCUAUUGGUUUUUAAAAUAUUUGACUUUUUUAAAAUGAAAAAAAAAUAAAAUAUUUGACUUUUGUUGAAUUAUCUUUGUUCUAACAAUGUUAGAUGGCCUUUUUCCUUCUAAAUAUAAAAUCAUGGCUACAAAAAGAUUUGUCUUAUGUAUUUGUUUUGUGUUAAAUAAAAUUGUGGCUAGAAAAUAUAUUUUUUGAUAUUUUGUCAUUAAAUAUGAAGUUAAUUAUUGUUUUUAAAAAAUGUUCUCUAUUUAAUACAGGAAAUUACAUUUAUUGUUUGUUAGAAGCUUUUAGUAAGAAUUGGUAUCUUUUGUAUAAUCACAUAAUUUUUAUCAUUUAAAUCAAUAUGAUUAUAUUACUGGCGUUACUAUAUUAACACAUUCUUAAAUUUUGAGUAACUACUUGAUUAUGGCAUAUGCUCUUUCAAUGUAUUGCUUUUCCCUAUUUGGUUAUUUUUAUUAUAAUUAUGCAUCUAUACAUUCAUAAAUAAAAUUCAUUUAUAUUUUA